CUUCUUGCUUAAGUAUCCAACAAUAAUCAGCCAGCAUUGGUGGAUGCCAUUUGCGCUGAUACCGUUUCUCCAUGACCGUAAUGUCCUGAUGAAACCUUUCACCAUGCUCGUCACUGACAGCGCCAAGAUUUACAGCAGGAGAUGAGAAGAGAAGACACUGGAAGUAAGAGGUCAUAGGAUUCAACCCGGAGCGGAGCCAUGACCCGACGAAGGCCGGGGAGAUUGAAGGAGGAUCGGCGAAGGGGAAACCGUGAGCUCGAACUUGUGACCAUUAGACUGUUCAUUAAAAUGGACCCUUUUCUUGUUUUGUUUUCUCUUCACUAACCCUGUAGUCAAAUUAAGAAUUAUAAAGCUAAAUCAUUUAAGUGUAUGCAGCGUACCGUCUGUUAUUUCGUGGUACUGAUUUGUAACAGAGAAACACAUCACGCAGCAUCCACAAGAACAGAGGGAUUUCGAGCUGGACUCACAUCUCAAUCUCACCCAGGACCAGAGAUUGUCUUCCCCAGACAGCCAACAGAACCUGAGGGUUUCUCAAACAAACAAACAAAUAAAUGUUGAAUAACUGAGACAUUAAAAGGAUACAGGCAGACAGACAGAAAUACUUUAUUGAUCCCAAGGGAAAUUGGGUUUCAUUAUAGUCGCACCAACCAAGAAUAGUGUAGAAAUAUAGCAAUAUAAAACCAUAAAUAACUAAAUAAUAAGUAAAUUAUUCCAAGUGGAAAUAAGUCCAGGACCAGCCUAUUGGCUCAGGGUGUCUGACACUCCAAGGGAGGAGUUGUAAAGUUUGAUGGCCACAGGCAGGAAUGACUUCCUAUGACGCUCAGUGUUACAUCUUGGUGGAAUGAGUCUCUGGCUGAAUGUACUCCUGUGCUUAACCAGUACAUUAUGGAGUGGAUGGGAGACAUUGUCUAAGAUGGCAUGCAAAUUGGAAAGCAUCCUCUUUUCAGACACCACUGUCAGAGAGUCCAGUUCCGCCCCCACGUCACUGGCCUUAUGAAUGAGUUUGUUGAUCCUGUUAGUGUCCGCUACCCUCAGCCUGCUGCCCCAGCACACAACAGCAAACAUGAUAGCACUGGCCACCACAGACUCAUAGAACAUCCUCAGCAUCGUCCGGCAGAUGUUAAAGGACCUCAGUCUUCUCAGGAAAUAGAGAUGGCUCUGACCCUUCUUGUAGACAGCCUCAGUGUUCUUUGACCAGUCCAGUUUAUUGUCAAUUCGUAUCCCCAGGUAUUUGUCAUCACCAUGUCGAUACUGACCCCUUGGACGGAAACAGGGGUUACUGGUGCCUUAGCCUUCCUCAGGUCCACCACCAGCUCCUUAGUCUUUUUCACAUUAAGCUGCAGAUGAUUCUGCUCGCACCAUGUGACAAAGUUUCCCACCGUAGCCCUGUAAUCCGCCUCAUCUCCCUUGCUGAUGCAUCCAACUACGGCAGAGUCAUCAGAAAACUUAUGAAGAUGAAGAUACUUAUCUGGUUGGCUGCCAAUGACUAGUGGUGAUCCGCAGGGUUCGGUGUUGGGAUCGCUUCUUUUUAUGCUGUACGUAUAUCAGUGAUUUUGAUGAUGGAACAGAUGGCUUUGUUGCCAAGUUUGCAAAUGAUACGAAGACUGGUGGAGGUCCAGGUAGUGUUGAGGAAACAGGUGGGAUGUAGAAAGACUUAGACAGAUUAGGAGAACGGGCAAGAGAGUGGCAAAUGAAAUACAAUGUUGGAAAAUGCAUGGUCAUGCACUUUGGCAGAAGAAAUUAAUGUGCGGACUAUUUUCUAAAUGGAGAGAAAAUCCAAGAAUCUGAGACUCGAAGGGACUUGAGAGUCCUUGUGCAGAACAUCCUAAAGGUUAACUGACAGAUAGAGUCAGUGGUGAGAAAGGCAAAUACCAUGUUAGCAUUCGUUUCAAGAGGGCUGGCAUACAAAAGCAGGGAUGUGGUGCUGAGACUUUAUAAGGCACUGGCCUCACUCUGAGUAUUGUCAGCAGUUCUGGGCUCCUCAUCAAAAAAAAUGUGUGGGCAUUGUAGAGGGUUUUGCAGAGGUUCACAAGGAUGAUUCUGGAAAUGAAAGGUUCAUCAUACAAUGAACGUUUGAUAGCUCUGGGUCUGCACUCACUAGAAUUUGGAAGUGGGGGGGGGGGGAGGUUUUCAUUGAAACCUUUUGAAUGUUAAAAGGCCUAGAUAGAGUAGAUGUGGAAAGGAUCUGUUCCAUGGUAGGGGAGUCUAGGACAAGGGGGUACAGCUUCAGGAUAGGGGCGUCCAUUGAAAAUAGAGAUGCUGAAAAAUUUCUUUGGCUAGCAGGUGGUGAAUUUGUGGAAUUUGUUACCACAGGCAGCUCUGGAGGCAAGUUGUUGGGUGUAUUUAAGGCAGAGAUUGAUAGGGUUCUUGAUUGGACAUGGCACCAAAGGUUAUGGGGAGAAGGCUGAGGAAUGGGUUUGAGGAGGGGAGAAAAGGAUUAGCCAUGACUGAAUCGCAGAGCAGACUUGAUGGGCCAAAUGGCCUAAUUCUGCUCCUAUGCCCUAUGGUCUUAUAUCCGCACAAACAAUUUAGUGAACACAUACACCCUCUUGAUUCCAUAUUUACCAAGUUUAGACAUCUUUGCCUGAAAAUUAAGUCAUGGUUGUUGAGUACAAUACAUUCUGUCUCCAAAAUUAAUUCAAUUAAAUCAACAGAAUGAGUGACAGAAGCAGAGUUCAGCAGAUGAUUUUCUGGAUUAUUUAGUUCAGCCAGUCUCUCAGUUCAGAACAUUAAGUCUCUCAUCUUGAAAAUCGAGCUUCUUCUCAGAAUUCUUUCCAAUCCAUUGAUGACCUUUUGGCAAUAGAUUGCCUGAAAAUUGCACCCAUUAUUUGAAAGGCAACAUGAUCAAUUGGUCACACUGGAUAAAAUAAUCUGUUUUCAGAGAACUGUAAUCCCUGGGGAGGAGGAUGCUUUGUCCUUUCCAGAUUACUGUCAACAGUUGGCUGCAUGAGACGAGGAUAAUCAUGCUAACUGUAAGAGCUUUAAAACUGAGGAGGGCUGGGGGAAACUUCGUAUCGAGUGGCAUGAGGCUGUGGAAAUCAAUUUCAGGGUUAGUUGGUUGAGGUAGCAACUACAUCAACGUUCAAGAUUAAAAUGGAUACGUGGAUGAAGUAAAAAGAAACAGUGGUAACAGGUUGUGGAAAUUUGAUUAAUAUCUCACUAGGGGCACAGAAAGGCAGUGAUUAUGUUGCUGGAUUAGUAAUCUGUAGAUCAAUGCACAAAUCCUGCCACAGCUGGGGAAUUUAAUUACAACUAAUUAAAUUUCAGCCAAAUAAUAAUAACCAAAUAACAACCAAGCAGUAAUUAUAAAAUUUCACAAUUAUCGCAAACCCCAUCUAACUUUAAGAAAUAUCUCAAAAAUCUAUAAUCAAAACACAAGCAGUGAUGCUGGAAAGUUUGUGAAUACUGUAGAAUUUUCUCUAUUUUUGCAUAAAUACGACCUAAAUUGUGAUCAGAUCUUCACAUGUCCUAAAACUAGAUAAAGAUACCAUAAAUAAAAAAAUAUGCUUGUUCGUUUAUUUAUUGAGCAAAAUGAUCUAAUAUUACAUGUACUUGUUGGAAAAAAUAUGUAAACCUUUGAUUUCAGUAACUGGUGUGACCCCCUUGUACAACAAUAACUUCAGCCAAAUAUUUCUGGUAAUUGUUGAUCAGUCCUACAUAUUGGCUUAGAGGAAUUUUAGGCCAUUCCUCCUUACAAAACUACUUUAACUCUGGGAUGUUGGUAGGCUUCCUUACACGAGCUGCUUGCUUUAGGUCCUUCAACAACAUUUCUGUAGGAUUAAGGUCAGGACUUUGAUUUGGCCUUUCCAAAACACAGAUUUUCUUUUUAAACCAUUCUGUUGUAGAUUUUCUCUUGUCUUUCAGAUCAUUCUCUUCUUGCAUUGUCCAACUUCUAUUAAGUUUCAGGUGAUGGACUGCUACCCUGACAUUCUCCUGUAAAAUGUCUUGAAUCAACUUUGAAUUCAUUGUUCUCUCAAUGAUUGCAAGCUGUCCAGGCCCUGAGGCAGCAAAGCAGCCCCAAACCACGAUGCACCAUGGUUCAUAGUUGGGAUGAGGUUUUAGUGUUGGUGUGCAGUGCCCUUUUUCCUCCAAACAUAGCAGUGUGCAUUUCUGUCAACAAGUUCAAUUUUUGUCUCAUCUGAACACAGAACAUUGUCGCAGAAGGUUGUGGAAUAUACAGGUGGUCUUUUACAGACUUGGGAUGUGCAGCAAUGUUCUUUUUGGAGAGCAGUGGUUUCCUUUGUGAUUUCUUUCCAUGAACACCAUUAUUGUUCAGUCUUUUUCUUAUUCUGGACACUUUAGCAGAGACUUUAGCAAGUUCCAGAGAUCUCUACAGGUCUUUUGCUGUUACCCUUGGGUUCUUUUUCACCUCCUUCUGCAUUGCACAUUGUGCUCUUGAUGUGAUUUGUGCAGGAUGCCCACUCCUACUGAAUUUCCUCCAUUUGUAGACAAUUUCUCUUACUGUGGACUAAUGAUAAGUGCUUCUGUAGCCUUUGCCAGCUUUGUGCAUCUCUACAAUUCUUCUUCAUAGGUCCUCUGAAAGUUGUUUUGAUCAAAGCAUGGUGCACAUAAACAGAUCUUUCUUGAUCAGAGCAGGCUUUGUCAGUAACCUGACUUUGUGUGUCUCUUUUAUAGGGCAGGACACUUCUACAACCCACGCUCCUAAUUUCAUCUCAUUGACUGGAACACCUGACUCCAAAAUAGCUUUUGUAGAAAGCAUUACCCCAUAGGUUCACAUACUUUUCCCAACAAAUACAUGUAAUAUCGGAUAAUUUUUCUCAAUAAGUAAAUGAAUAGGUAUAAUUUUUUAUGUUAUUUCUUUAAUUGGGUUCUCUUUAUCUAGUUUUAGGACUUAUGUGAAGAUAGAAACAUAGAAACAUAGAAAAUAGGUGCAGGAGUAGGCCAUUCGGCCCUUUGAGCCUGCUCCGCCAUUCAGUAUGAUCAUGGCUGAUCAUCCAACUCAGAACCCUGUACCUGCUUUCUCUCCAUUCCCCCGAUCCCUUUAGCCACAAGGGCCAUAUCUAACUUCCUCUUAAAUAUAGCCAAUGAACCGGCCUCAACUGUUUCCUGUGGCAGAGAAUUCCACAGAUUCGCCACUCUCUGUGUGAAGAAGUUUUUCCUCAUCUCGGUCCUAAAAGGCUUCCCCUUUAUCCUUAAACUGUGACCCCUCGUUCUGGACUUCCCCAACAUCGGAAACAAUCCUCCUGCAUCUAGCCUGUCCAAUCCCUUUAAAAUUUUAUAUGAUACAAGAGAAUUUUAAUUUUAAGAUCUGAUCACAUCUUAGGACAUAUUUAUGCAGAAACAGAAAAAAAUUCUACUGGGUUCACAAACUUUCUAGCACCACUGUGUAUGUCACCAUAUUUUACCCUGAGAUUCAUUUUCUUGCAGGCAUUCACAGUAGAUACAAAGAGCCACAAUAAAAUCAAUGAAAAACUACUCAUAAAGAUGGACAAUAAAUCAUUGUGUAAGUUCUGCAAAUGCAACAAGAAAAAAAAAAUAAUUACCAACACAGAGAAGGUGGAGGAACUCAGCAGGUCAGGCAGCAUCUAUGGAAAUGAAUAUGCAGUUGAUAUUUUGGGAUGAGAUCCUUCUUCAGGAUUGCAAAGGUAGGGGGAAGAUGCCAGAAUAAAAAGGUAGGGUUCGGGAGGGAAACUAGCUGGAAGGUGAUAGGUGAAGCCAGAUGGGCAGGAAAGGUAAAGGGUUGGAGAAGAAGGGAUCUGAUAGGAGAGGAGAAUGGACCAUAUGAGAGAGGGAAGGAGGAAGGGCACCAGGGGGAGGUGAUAGGCAGGUGAGAAGUGGUAGGAGGCCAGGUGAGUAAUAGAAGAAGAGGGGAAGGGGAUGGAAAAUGUUUUUACUGGAAGGAGAAAUUGAUAUUCUUGCCAUCAGUUUGGCGGCUACCCAGACAGAAUAUUCCAGCCUGACAAUCACCUCAACUUUGCACAAGAGGAGGCUAUGGAUGUAUAUGUAAGAAUAAGAAUGGGAAUUGGAGUUAAAAUGUUUGGCCAGUUGGAAAUCAAGCUUUAUUUGGGUGGAUGGAGCGGAGGUGCUAAACAUAGAAACGUAGAAAAUCUACAGCACAAUACAGGCCCUUCUGCCCACAAAGUUGUUCAGAACAUGUCCUUACCUGAGAAAUUACCCAUAGCCCUCUAUUUUUCCGAGUUCCAUAUACCUGUCCAGGAGUUUCUUAAAAGACCCAUAGCCAUAGCUCCCCAACCCAGGCAAUAUCCUUGUAAAUCUCCUCUGCACCCUUUCUAUGGUUUCCACAUCCUUCCUAUAGUGAGGCGACCAGAACUGAGCACAGUACUCCAAGUGGGGUCUGACCAGGGUCCUAUAUAGCUUCAACAUCACCUCUCGACUCCUAAACUCAAUCCCACGACUGAUGAAGGCCAAUGCACUGUAUGACUUCUUAACCACAGGGUCAACCUGCGCAGCAGUCUUGGGUGUCCUGUGGACUCGGACCCCAAGUUCCCUCUGAUCCUUCAGACUGCCAAGAGUCUUACCAUUAAUACUAUAUUCUAUCAUCAUAUUUGACCUACCAAAAUGAACCACCUCACACUUAUUUGGGUUGAACUCCAUCUGCCACUUUUUAAGCCCAUUUUUGAAUCCUAUCAAUGUCCCGCUGUUACCUCUGACAGCCCUCCACACUAUCCACAACAUAUCCAAUCUUUGUGUCAUCAGCAAAUUUACUAACCCAUUCCUCCACCUCUUCAUCUAGGUCAUUUAUAAAAAUCACGAAGAGAAAGGGUCCCAGAACAGAUCCCUGAUGCACACCACUGGUCACUGACCACCAUGCAGAAUAUGACCCAUUUACAACCACUCUUUGCCUUCUGUGGGCAAGACAAUUCUGGAUCCACAAAGCAAUGUCCCCUUGGAUCCCAUGCCUCCUUACCUUUUCAAUAAGCCAUGUAUGGGAUACAUUGUCAAAUGCCUUGCUGAAAUCCAUACACACUGCAUCUACUAUUCUAUCAUCAUCAUUGUAUUUAGUCACAUCCUCAUAAAAAGGUGCUGGUUCUCUUCGAUGCGCUCCCCCCAAUUUAUGGCAGGUCUCACCAAUAUGGAGGAGGCUGCAUCAGGAGCACCAGACACAAUAGACAAGCCUAGUGGAUUUGCAUGUGAAGUUUUGCCUCACCCGGAAGGCCCAUUUGGGGCCCGGAAUGGAGGUGAGGGAGGAGGUGAAUGGGCAGGUGUAGCACUUUGGCUGCUCACAGGGAUAAGGGCCAGGAGGGAGAUUAGUGAGGAAGGAUGAAUGGACAAGGGAAUCAUGGAGGAAAUGAUCCUUGUGGAAAGCAGAGGGAACGGGGGAGAUAAUGUCACGUUUGGUGUCAGGAUCCCUUUAGAGAUGGUGGAAGUUGCGAAGAAUGAGAUGUUGGAUGUGAAGGCUCGUGGGGCGAUAGGUAAGGACAGAAGGAACCUUAUCACUGUUAAGAUGGCGGGAAGAGGAGGUGAGUAUGGAGGUUCAGGAAAUGGAGGAGAUGCAGGUGAGGGCAGCAUCAGUGGUGGAGGAGUGAAAAGCCCGUUCUUUGAAGAAGGAAUAUAUCUCUGACAUCCUGGAAGGGAAAGCUGCAGACUGGGAUCAUAAAUAAAUAAAUAAACUAACAAAGAAACAGAAUUGAGAAUAUGAGUUAUGGUUCUGGUCCAUGUCCAAUCUCACAGCAAUUUGGCUGGCUCCCACCCAUCUUCUGAAAAGGUCCACAAAUUAAAAUAAAGUAAAAUCAUGAUAAAGUUGUAAGGAACACUUAACAUCAAACAAGAGAUUAGUUUGACUAAGACACAUCCAGCCCAUUUAAUCCUGCCAAGCAUGCUUCUUUAACACCUGGAGCUCCUGCCAAAAUUGGAUGAGCCGAGUCAAGUAAGAGCUUGACUCAAUUAAUCCCAUAGAAUCAUUUUUGACAGCCUCACAGACUCUUCCAUCAGAAGGUGCUAGUUGCACUUAGUAGAGAAUGCUGCAGAGCCGAUGUUUCAGCUUUUCAUCCUAAACAUUAAAAUUCUUUGUCCAGACUGUGAAAGAGAGAAAAUAAAUUAGUUUUAAAUUGCAGAUAUGACAGGGGAGGGAUGAAUGGAACAAAAAGAAUAUUCUGACAGGGUGAGGCUAAGGUUGUCAUAGUAAUAAAUAGUUUAUGAAGUAUAGGCUGGGACUGUUUUCCCUGGAGCAAAGCAGGCUGAGGAAUGAGUUUAUAAAAUCAUCAGGGGCAUAAGUAAUGUGGAUGGUGACGGUCUUUAUCUUGAGGUACAGGAGUGCAAAACUUAAGGAACUCCUUAAUGUAAGAGGGGAAAGAUUUAAAGAGAACACAGGUGUAAGUUUUCCACACAGAGAGUGGAAUGUAUGUGUAACAGUUGUCAGAGCAAGUAUUUAAAAGGCAUUUGGGCAGGUUGACGGAUAGGAAUGGUUUAGAGCAGGAGCUCCCAACCUUUGGAGCCCUACCGUUAACCGAGGGGUCUAUGGACCCCAGGUUUAGAGGGAUAUGGGACAAACACAGGUAAAUGGUCAGCAUGGAUGUGUUGGGCCAAAGGACAUGUUUUCACAUUGCACAAAUCUAUGACUCUGUUGAUGGAUUAAUGAGGAUUGUUAGAGAGAAAGCAAAAUAUAUGAAAUGGAGAUACAAGAGAUUGAGCAGAUGCUGGAAAUCUCGAGUAACACACAAGACACGGUGUUGCUCACUCCCUACCCACUUCUUGUGACUGUAAUAGUCUAGAAGGGACUUUUAUAAGAUCCUAGACUUUCACAAUAUCCCGCCAAAAGUCACCAUUCUGAGCAGCUAGCCUGCUUGGCAGACCUCUGUAGAAUUCUUCACUCUCAGAGAUCUCCAAGAAGCCCAUUCACUUAUCAGUUAUUGAUGCACAAAGUGUCAGGGGCUCCAGCACAUGGGAGCUAAUUGUUCAGGCCUAAUCCCUCCUCAUCUGGACAAGAAAGGUUAAGGACUGAUAUUGGUAUUUGGUUACAGUACUAGUUUAUUAUUGUCACACAUAUCAGUGAAAAGCUUGUCUCGCAUAUUGUUCGUACAGAUCAAAUCAUUACACAGUGCAUUGAGCUAGAAAAAAAACAAAACAAUAACAAUGCAGAGUAAGUCUGAAAUCUACAGAGAAAAUGCAGUAGAAAAUAAAGUGCAAGAUCAUAAUGAGAUAGACUGCAAGACCAAGAUUCUAUCUUAUCAUAAAGAUCUGUUCAAGAGUCUGAUAACAGUGGCACAGAAGCUGUCCUAAAGCUUGGUGGUAUGUACUUCCUAGUUUUUGUAUUUGCUGCCUGAUGGGAAAGGGGAGAAAAGAGAAUGUCCAGGAUAGGUGGCAUCUUUGGUUAUGUUUUACCGAGACAUUGAGAAGUAUAGACAGAGUCAACAGUGGGAAGGCUAGUUUUGUUGAUAUGUGUCCACAGCUCCCUAAAGUUUCUUGCAGUCAUGUGCCGAGCAGUUGCCAAACCAUUAUACAUCCAGACAGAAUGCUUCUUAUAGUGCAUUGAUAAGAGUUGGUAAGGUUCAACAAAGAUAUGUCAAAUUUCUUCAGCCUCCUGAGGAUGUAAAGGCCUUGGUGAUUUUGCUUGGCCAUGUGCCAAAGUCCAUUUUUAAACUCGCUGAAUUUCUACAAUGGAACAUUUGCUGCCUGCAAUUACCGAUGAUAAUUACUGAUUUUAUCUCAUAUUCAUUUUGUAAACUGAAUUUGAAUUCACCAGCUGCUACGGCAGAAGUUAAAUACACACUUUCGCAUCAAUAAGUCAGGCCCCUGAAGAGUAGUCGGGUAAUUUACCUGCUACUUUACUGUCACUGAGGGUAAGGCACUAGAUCUGGGCUUGUGGUGAAUGGCAAUACUGUUUAAUUUUCACACAAAACACACCUUGUUCACGUUCCUUACUUCUGUUUGGUGUGAACCCAUCUGGAAAACAGAUUUCUGUGAAUACCAUUUGACUGGGAUUCAUUGGGACUGAUACAAUUAAGUGGCUGCCCCAAUUAGCUGAAGUCUCAUGAAAGUGGUUAAAACGGUGUACAAAAGACAAGCUCCCAUUUAACUGAGUAAAAAACUAUGUAUUUAAAAGAAAUACAGAACAAGUUAGAAUACUACCAAUGCUACUCCAGUACUAUAAAACUCUAUAUUUGUUAUUGGCAGAGGAAUCAAUCCAGAGUACAAUGCUGUGUUCCUUUGAUUGACUGUAAAUGAACAAAAUCAGCGCAGAUGCCCACUGCAGAGAAUGGACUGACUCCAUUGCCUUUCUGCAAGAGGUAGUGUCAUAAUCCAACAACAGACUUCCUGGCAUCCCAGGUAGAUUUCGACACUCCAGUGAUCUCUGCCAGAUGAUCAUAAGAGGUGUUGGGGGAUGUCUUUUAAUUUGGUCCAGUAGGGCAAUUUUUUGGCUAGUGUCAAAUCUUUUUGUGGCAUCUUGGCAAGGGUCUGAAAUUUUUUUAAGCCAAGAUUAAAAAAAAACCAAAAUCACUGCUUUUUGAAUCAGCGUCCAUUGGCAUUAAUGCAAGCACACCCAACUGAAACUAUUUAAAAACUGUUCAUUCUUUAUUUCGUUCUUCCUUACACUUGUGUACCAGAAAUAACAUUAAGCAUCUUGAAUCUUGAAUCUAAGCACGAUAUAGUGUCUAACAGCCACACAAGUGCACGCGACUGAUGCUGUUAGAAAAUGGGCAACAGGCUCCCGUCCCAAUUAAGUGGCAUAGUGUUCCAAACAAACAAAGGGAUCCCAGAUAUUUUAUCAAUUAGUUUUUGCUCUUUUAGAGUUGGCACAAAUAAGUGAAUGUCCUGAUUAACCGAAGGCCCGAUUAACCAGAGGUCUGAUUAACCGGAAUCCAUCAUACUACAUAAUGUGCAUGAAUUAAUCUCAGUUCUUCAGGCUAUGCCACUCAGAGACUUGUGCUAAUAUUACUUUGUGACUGUAUGUGCUGGCUCAUAGUUUUAUGUAUUGUGUGUAAUUAUACGUACUAUGUUUUGCACUUUGGUCCCCAUAGCAAAGAUAUUUCAUUUAGCCGUAUACCUGAGUAUGGUUGAAUGACAACAAACUUCCACCUGAACUUGAAAAGGCUUAAUAAUGUUACAAAAUUUAUUCUGUGAAGGUUGUUUUCUCACCCGGUAACCCAGUCCUCACCCAGUCCUCAUGCGCCUAUGGGUACAGGCAAAAGAAAACAUGCAUGAAAGAGAAGUGAAAGAGAAAGAGAAGUGAAGACAAUCGCGGGCAGAAUGUAUAUCCAAAAUCAUCAAUUCCUAAUAAGCUUCCAUGAUCAUUUUUGAGAGGCUUUGGUCCAUUCUCCCUUGCAUGCUUAUAAUAAACCUUUUCUGUUUCCGGUUCACUUCUGACUCCGGUGUGCUUUUGCCCCACAACUCUGGGUCAUGACAGAAUAUUGAUCUACCCUAGCAUUUCUUCACUAAAUGCCCUGAGGACCCAGCCACUGCAUGGGUUAUAUUCUUUGCAAAAGUCUUAGGCCCUCUUCAUUUUUUAUAUGGUUUCAGAUGGUAUGUCUCCACAGAGCUCUGGCCUCAACUUCAUUGACGUCGUCUUGGAUUACCCAGAGAGACAGAAGCAAAUCUGCAGAAAAACUGUGGCAAGUUAUCUGAGAUGGUUGGAUGCAGUUUGAUGCAGUUGGAUGCACCAAAUAUUGGUUUGAUUUAAUUUUUUACUGUUUUUUGCUCUUUAUAGUAAUUUUUUGAUAUUUAGAAACUUUUCACUUCAUUAUUUUUGAAAGCAUCUUUACAGAAUUUAUUUUUACAUGUGCUAAUUACUGUAUAUACUUUACAAAGUACCCUAUUAGAGACUUGGAGCCAUGCAGCAUAGAAGUCGAUCUUCUAGCCCACCAUAUCCAGCUGACUAUCAGAGCUGACAGAAGAUGUGGAGAAGGAAAUGAAGCAGACAAGUAUAAAUUGCUUUGCUUACAUUAUUGAUCAAGUAGUGUGUUGCCAUUGCUACGAUAUGGUGAGCACCAGUCACCACUUCAGUCUGAGUGCUGCCCUUGACUGAAGCUGCAAUUUCCUCCUUUGUUUCCCAUCAUUUUAAAAUUUGAGAUGGUGACAGAUGUCGAGGAUAACAUGUUUACACGCAACUUCCCUUCCUAUCCAGUGUCUGCCUCCAAAGACACAGGCACCAAGAUAAUUACACCCUCGCCUCCUCCCCCACUUCUGUCUCGCAUACUAACUUAUAAUUUCCUGAUUAGCAAUGGGUCAAAUAGCUUCCCCUCGCAUAAUUUGAGUUGGUGCCCAUUGAGACAACUUUGGUGUAAGAAUGAGUAGAAGUUAUUUCACAUUAUUAUUAUUAUAUUGCAACAAGAAUGGCACUGGUGACAUCAAGCAUCUUCAAUCCUUCUGCUUUGAUAACUCAAUUCCUGAAUCCUGUUAGACUCUUCACUGAAUUAGUGGCAUGACCUUCACCAUAUUCCAGCCCAUUUGGAUAGUUUCUUAUCUAGGAUUAGUUUAUGCAUUACUUAAAGCAUUUCUUUAUGCUGCCCCAGACAUGUGGAGAUUUUUUUUGCAUCUUAAUUUUUUACAAAGUAGUUAGUAGGGUCAUGAGGAGAGAUUUUGGCCAUCAUAAAUCAAAGUAUUGAGUACAGGAGUUGGGCUGUAUUUUGUUGAAGUUGUAUAGGUUGUUGGUGAGGCCUGAGUUGGAGCAUUGUGCACAAUUCAGGUCACCUACCCACAGGAAAAAUUAAUAAGAUUGAAAGAAUGCAGAGAAACUGCACGAGGGUGUUGCUAAUGUUUGAGGAUCUGAGUUAAGGGAAAGGUUGAACAGGUUAGGACUUUAUUCCUUGGAGCGUAGAGAAUGAGGGAAGAUUUGAUUGAGGUUUACAAAAUUAUGAGGGGUGUAGAUAAACUAAAUGCAAGCAAGCCUUUCCCCUCGGGUAGGGUGAGAUUAGAGCUGAAGUUCAUACAGCGUUUCGGGGUGAAAGGUGAAAUGUUUUGGGGAACAUGAAAGGGAACGUUUUCACUCAGAAGGUGGCAAGAGUGUGGAACUAGCUGCCAGCAGGAGUGGUCGACGUGGGUUCGAUUUCAACAUUUAAGAGAAAUUUGGAUAAGUAGGAUUGGAGGGGUAUGAAGGGCUAUGGUCAAUGGGAUGAGGCAGAAUAACAUGAACUAGAUGUGACGAAGGGAUUAUUUCUGUGUGAUUGUGCUCUAUAUUCUAUGACUCCUGGUAGCUACUGUAUAUUUAACAAAGGUGGAAAAUUGAUGGAAAAUGCUAGCUCUUUGUUCACCAUCUGUACUUUUGUCUCACUUUUACCACAAGACUGUGAACUGAAUCUUAUCCAGAAAGAAAAAUGAUUGAUGGAAUUUAGUGACUACCAAUAAAACUGUAAACCCUAUACGUAUUUAAAAGAUUACCUAUGGAGGGUAAAACCUAUCUAAUGAACAGGAAAGAGACACAGAGAAGGAGAAAAAAUUGGAGAAACAGAGAAUGAAAGAAAGGGAGGGAAACAGAGAGAAAUUCAGAUACAAAAAAAUUAGUCAGUCUUUAAGCACAACACAUCACUGAAGUUGACACAAAUACAUACACCUGCUUCAGUCCACACAGAAUGUUGUCCAUACAUGCUACAGAAAGAAUGAAAUCAAAAUCUUAGCAACAAUUUUCCUGCUAAAGUGGAAUUGCAAUGCCCAUUUUGCAGAAAUAUACAAAUGUAUUACACUAAGCAUUUUUUCAUUUUUCUGUCAUGACCAAGGUUCUCAAUUAUAAUUGAUGAUACAAACAGAAUUCAAUCAGAUUUUACCUACAGUCUGUUUACCUCAGUGAAUCAAUGUAACCCAUAAUUUACCAGGAAAUAAUUUGAUGGCCUGCAGCUUCUCUGGAAUAGGGAUGUCCUCUGGUGUUCCCUAAAUGCAGGGGUUCCCAACCUGGGGUCCAUGCAUCCCUUGCUUAAUGGUAUUGGUCCAUGGCAUAUGCAAAGUUGGGAAACCCUGCUUUAAUAGCUUAGAUCUCAGCCACUGGCAUUCAAAUCAAAUGAAUGCCUCCUGUUCCUUCAAUUCCUACAAAGACAUCAUUAAGCUGGGAAGAAUGUAAAGAAGAUUCUCAGAAAUGAUGGCAAAAUCGAGAGUCUGAGUUACAGGGAGAAGUUGGGCAAUCUAGGGUUUAUUCCUUGGAGGGCUGAUCCUACAGAGGUGUAUAAGGUAAUGUAGGUUAUAGAUAAGGUGAAUGCACACACUCUUUUUUCUCAGGAAAAACUAGGUAGGUUUAAGGUGGAAGGAAAAGAUUUAAAAGGGAUAUGAAAGCUAAUUUCUUUACACAGACUGUGUAAAGAAUAUUUGAAACGAGUUGCCAGAGGAAGUGGCUGAGGCAGGUACCAAGGCCUUGGCAGAUGGGUGUAAAUAGCCCUUGCUGUCAGAUCUUCAUGUACAUCUGGAGCUUUGAUCUCACCAAGGCUGCCCUUGAGAUGACUGCAGUGCAGAUGAGCUGAUUCUCCAUUCUCCACCUCCUUGUAGACUGUGUUUUUGCCGAGAAAGUCUGGAAAGGAAUGUGGUGGUCUUUGUCAAGGUUCAUCUUCAGCAGCUGCAUUGCAUUGGACUAUGUGCUUCAUGGACAGUUCCCAGGAAUACAAAAUGAGCCAAAUAUUAACAGUUGUUGGAAGAUCAUCGUGUGUGUGAAAAAUGCACUUGGAUCUGCUCAAACCCUAUUGAACUUCCAGUGUUAGAAGGUGUCUGUGAGGGAAUGCUGCAGAACGGCACAAUCCAAGAUGCUUGAAGCUUAGUGGUGGAAAGGUUCUGUGGGGGGGGGGGGAACACACACACACACACACACACACAGGGGUUGGGUCCUUUGUAAUGGUGUCUCAGAAUCCUCUCAUGGGUGGGCAUAAAAAUUUCUAUGGCAGUAGUUCCAAGAAAGGCUAAGGUGUUACCCCUGGUGGUUUGAACAGUGCCUAUGCCUCAGUCGAUAUCUCUAAAAUUAACUUAUCUGAUACUUAUCAUGUUGAUCUUUGUGGGGGUGUGCUAUAUGCAGAUUGGCUUGUCCACACUUCAAGAGGAUUUAUUAACUGUAAAGUGGCAGGUUAUGUCCUGAACAGGAUGUAAAGGAUUUCAGUCUCGAUGCAGGUCUUCCUCUUGCUCCCAUCACCCCUGGCUUUGGUGGUAUCGAUCAGCCAGUGAUAUGACUGACAUUAACAUGGUAAAGGAAGAUAUUGAAUCACUUCACUGAGUGAAUGAAGAAAAUGUCAAUUGUAGUUACUUUAUAUUUUUCCCAAUAAAGUGCAUUAUUGGGGGAAAGGGGGUAGAUUGGCUAUGAUGAACCUCUGGCCAAAUAGACUACCAUAUUUGACCACCAGCACUCUAGUGAAAGCAAAAAUAAGAUGUAGCUGAUGACAGGCAUCUGAAGAAAAAUCAGAAACUUUUGGAAAUACUCAAAACGUCAGGCAGGAUUUGUGGGUUAAUGAUUUUAGGACGACAGUUCAACUUUUUAUUUCUGAUCCAAGAGGGAUCUUGUGCAUAAGAAAUAAAAGAAGCACAAACAAGAGAAAAUCUGCAGAUGCUGGAGAUAAAAGUAAUACACACAAAAUGCUGGAGGAACUCAGCAGGCCAGGCUACAGCUAUGGAAAAGAAUGAACUGUCGAUGUUUCAGGCCAAGACCCUUCAUCAGAGCAUCUCCACCUGCCAACCUACUGUCCUUUUCAUACAAUGUGCAUCCUUGGAUGUUGAACUCCCAACUAUGAUCUUCUUUUAGUCAUGAAAGAGGUUCAUUUACUCACCUACAUCAGGAGUAAUUUACAAUGGCUACUAUCAGCCCCUAUAGCUUUGAAUGUGGAGGGAAAUCAGAAGAAAACCAAGCAGAGACAAGCGGACCAUGUAACGUCUACCCAGACUGCUCUGGAGGUCAUUCCGUUAGGGUUCUUUCGAAGACCUUGAUCUGGAGUUACACACAGACUUCGGUUCCUUGUGGGAAUGGGACCCAUUCUCGGGGUAUCAGGACUGAGCAUUAUCCGACAUGCCAAGGGUUCGGCCUGAGAGUCCUGCUCGUGUUUGGAAGCCUGAGAUCUUGGGGCUCUGGAGAUGGGUGUAUCGAGGGUCGGUGUCACGGCAGAAGACUCAUGUGUCGUCAUAGGGGGGGCUGGAAAAUCUUUCGCUGUGGGCCUAAAGACCCAAGGUCUUUGCGAUCUUCAAGAUCAGAGCUCGUAAAAAACGACUUUUAACUUCAUAAACCAGCGGGUUAUUAUGUUUUCCUGCUCACUGUGAAAAUGGGGGACACCUCCCUCUCACUUAUUAGGGAGAGAGAGAACCUGUGGUGUGUCAAAUGCCGGAUGAAAUGCAAAGUCUUUGGGGUAACAGCAAAAUCUGUGUCUUUGCUAUCGAUGAGCUCACACUUGUGCUCGGGCGUGGUGCUGAUGCUUGCUCUUUUUAUGUCGGUGCGGGGAGGGGGAUUGUUGC